CAAAAGCGUGGUAGAAUGUUAGGACCCAAAUAUCCCAAAUUGAGAGCUCUCGAGAACCCUUUCCAUACAAGUUAAUAUUUAAUUGUAAGUUCUACCCAUGGCCCCUCUUCUCACAAGGAGAAGAUCUUACUGUAGUUACCACCUAUGGCUUCAUCAGAAAUUUAUCUCUAAGACUCUUUUUAAUCAUUUUGGUUAAAUAUUUCCAAGUCUAGUGUAAUUCUAUGUGUGUAUGCCUAAAGUUUGUGUAAUCCUAUGGUUAACUGUUUUAGAAGCGUAAGGAUAUCCGUGUUCGACUGCUUGCAAUAAAUUUCAUCCAUGAAACCCUUGUGCACAAUUGGUAAUUGCUCAAUGAAAUUUUAGUGAAGAGUAUGUUUCUUGUGAAGAAACCUUUCAUCCUUAGCCUAAAAGGAUUUGGAUUAAAUUUAAUUGGAACGGAUUAGCCUAGUUGUAAUCCAAUCCAACAUCAAUUAUAGCCCAAACGUGGCAUUAAUGGAGGAUCAUCUAAUUCCUAAUUCCCAUGCCACAUUUGAGCUCGCAACCUGCAGCCUGUAUUCAAUUUUCCUGUUGUGGUUUUUUAGUUUUUUGUUAACAUGGAUUCGGUCUGAUCAGUUGAUAUAUAUAUAAUUAAAUAUACAGAAACGUUGAUAUAGAUCUAAAUUUUCAUUGAAGAGUUAGGUUUAAUUCCCGGAUUUGGGGACUUUGAUCCAAGUCCUUUGACUUUGUGCCACGUAGAAUUACAUUCCAUUUUAAAUAUUUUUUGAUUUUCCCACUUCCCUUUUCUCCACUUACACUCCCUUUUUCUUUUUAAUACUUUUUAAUCAAUUUUGUUUAUUCUCUUUCCUAUUCUACCCUUACCCUACAUUAAUUUCUUUUUAUUUCACUUUUAUAUUAGUUUUUUUUUAAUACUUAAUUUUCCAACUUGCACUCCAUUUUUAAUAUUUUUUUUCCCUUAAUUGAGUAAGAAAUUAAGUUUUUUUUCCCCCCCCCUAAUACUGAAAAUGGAGUAUAAGUUAAAAAAUUAAGUAUAAAGAAAAAUAAAUAAUAUAAAAGUAAAGCAAAAAAGAAAUUAAUGUAGGGUAAAAAUAGAAUAGGAAAGAGAAAGAAAAAAAUUGAUUAAAAAGCAAAAGGGAGUGUAAGUGGAAAAAAUGGGUAACAUACAAUUUUAUUUUGUCUAUUUUUGUAUCUGACUUAUAAGUAGUCUUCUAAUUUAUGUUCCUAACUUAUAGGUAUAGUCUUUUAAUUUAUGUUCUAACUUAUAAGUAACAUGAUUUAUCAUCACUAAGAUUUUUUCGUUGGUAAUAAUUACACUAUUUACUUGUAUGUUAGGUAAAUUAAUGUGGGUACUUGUUUGAUUGAUUGGUAUAAUAUGUGGGUCUUUACUUUUUAUGGAUUAAAUUGUAUUUUAUCCAUAAUUAGGAAUAUUAUCAAGGAAAGAAUUCAAAAUUUAAAUUUUGGAAUUCAAUUACAAGGAAAUAAUCCAUUAAAUUUAAAAUUUUCAAUGUGUUUUCCUUAUUUACCUCAAAGGGUAAAAUCAACACAACAAAAAAAGUGAUAAAUGUCAAAGGACCUACAUAUAAACGCGUGGACUAAACCCAAUGACAGCUAAUCAUUUUGGACCUAAAUCUAAAAAGCCCUUAAAUAUAAUUAGUUUCCUUGUAUAUACUUAAUUUUUUAUUCUUUUGGGGGAGAAGAAAAUGCAGACAAUAAGGGUCUAGAUGGUAGGAGCGUAAUCCAGAAGUUUGGAUUAAAUUGGCAUGGCGGGUAGCAUAUUUGUGCCAGCAUUAGCUGUAUCGAUGGUCUCAAUGGCAACCAAAGGCCAUAAUUAAACACAUCGGCAAAGAAGACGACUUCACCCUUAGGGUUGCUUAAUGCUUCUAACAGCUUAAGGAUCCGCAUCACUACCGAAUCCGGGAUAUGGUAAUCCGCCCAGAUCUUGGCCAACUCCCAAUCCGUCAGCAUGUUCAACUCCAGGAAGUCUGCUUUAAAGACUAGACCAUUUGGCUGUGCCAUCGGCACCCGUUGGUUACCAGUCACAACUCUCAAAAUCCCUUCAGCAGGAAUGGACGUUGAACCUUUGGCCGCUUGAUCACCAUGACCAGAUGUAGAAUUUCUGAUUGAUAACUCGUGUGUUGAUCCAUCACACCAGUAUCUUGCAUAAGAAACUCCACAUAGUGGGCCAUAUAUUGGCCCGAAGAGAACUUGAAGCAGGACACAUAGUGCAUGCAGCUUCGACAGGCACUACUCACAUUGAAUAUACAAGUAUAUCGAUAGUACUCAGGCUACACCCAUCGCCAUUGCUUCUGAUAUACUCAACCCUAAAACAGAUUUCUAAGCAUAUGUGUGAAAGAAGUGCAAUUCACUUACCCAAAGAAAACGUGAUGAUGAUUGUUUGAUAGCCGGUAGCAAAGGAUGCUCAGCGAAAACAAUCAAGGAAGUGAAAGAGAAAGACUAGAUGAGGGAGGUUCUGCCACAAGAGAAGAGAAAUAGACAAAUUUAAGUCUGGAAUAGCCGGUAGCAAAAACAACCGAGGAAGUGAAAGAGAAAGACUAGAUGAAUGAGGUAAAUGAGUGAAGCUGCCUCAAAGGAAGGAAUGGAUGACACCAUUGGGCCAAUGUCGAUAAAGUGCGCCGAUGAUGACGUCAUAUACAUAAGCGUGGUAGAAUGUUAGAACCCAAAUAUCCCAAGUUGAGAGCUCUCGAGAACCCUUUCCAUACAAGUUAAUUUUUAAGUGUAAGUUCUACUCAUGGCCCCUCUUCUCACAAGGAGAAGAUCUUACUGUAGUUACCACCUAUGGCUUCAUCAGAAAUUUAUCUUUAAGACUCUUUUUAAUCAUUUUGGUUAGAUAUUUCCAAGUCUAGUGUAAUUCUAUGUGUGUAUGCCUAAAGUUUGUGUAAUCCUAUGGUUAACUGUUUUAGAAGCGUAAGGAUAUCCGUGUUCAACUGCUUGCAAUACAUUUCAUCCAUGAAACCCUUGUGUACAAUUGGUAAUUGCUCAAUGAAAUUUUAGUGAAGAAUAUGUUUCUUGUGAAGAAACCUUUCAUCCUUAGCCUAAAAGGAUUUGGAUUAAAUUUAAUUGGAAUGGAUUAGCCUAGUUGUAAUCCAAUCCAACAUCAAUUAUAGCCCAAACGUGGCAUUAAUGGAGGAUCAUCUAAUUCCUAAUUCCCAUGCCACAUUUGAGCUCGCAACCUGCAGCCUGUAUUCAAUUUUCCUGUUGUGGUUUUUUAGUUUUUUGUUAACGUGGAUUCGGUUUGAUCAGUUGAUACAUAUAUAAUUUAAUAUACAGAAACGUUGAUAUAGAUCCAAAUUUUCAUUGAGGAGUUGGGUUUAAUUCCCGGAUUUGGAGACUUUGAUCUAAGUCCUUUUUUGUGCCACGUAGAAUUACAUUCUAUUUUAAAUAUUUUUGAUGUAAUUAUUAUUUUAUUUUAAAAAUCAUUUUUUGUUCCAAUAUUGCCCCUUAUGACUUGAAUCGGGUAAUAGUAAUUUAUGUCAUAUUGCCUAUUGCAUAGGUAUAUAUAUAUGUUUUUUCAUAUUUUCGACAAUGUGUAAUAGUAUUUUAUGCACCUUUUUUUUUUUUUUUUUUGGGAUAUGAUUUCCCAACUCCCCUUUUCUCCACUUACACUCCCUUGUGGUUUUUAAUACUUUUUAAUUAAUUUUGUUUCUUCUCUUUCCUAUUCUAUUCUUAUCCUACAUUAAUUUCUUUUUACUUCACUUUUAUAUCAGUUCUUUUUUAUUUAUUUUUAAAAUACUUAAUUUUUCAAUUUGCACUCCAUUUUUAAUAUUUUUUUUCCCUUAAUCGAGUAAGAAAUUAAGUUUUUUUUUUCCUUUAAUACUGAAAAUGGAGUGUAAGUUAGAAAAUUAGGUAUAAAGAAAAAAAAUAAUAUAAAAGUGAAGUAAAAAAGAAAUUAAUGUAGGGUAAGGAUAGAAUAGGAAAGAGAAAGAAAAAAAUUGAUUAAAAAGCAAAAGGGGGUGUAAGUGGAAAAAAUGGUAGUGGAAAAUCAGCUCCCUAUUUUUUUUAAUAGGUAAUAUACAAUUUUAUUUUGUCUAUUUUUGUAUAUGACUUAUAGGCAGUCUUCUAAUUUAUGUUCCUAACUUAAAGGUAUAGUCUUCUAAUUUAUGUUCUAACUUAUAAGUAACAUGAUUUAUCAUCACUAAGUUUUUUUCGUUGGUCAUAAUUACACUAUUUACUUGUAUGUUAGGUAAAUUAAUGUGGGUACUUGUUUGAUUGAUUGGUAUAAUAUGUGGGUCUUUACUUUUUAUUGAUUAAAUUGUAUUUUAUCCAUAAUUAGGAAUAUUAUCUAGGAAAGAAUUGAAAAUUUAAAUUCUAGAAUUCAAUUACAAGGAAAUAAUCCAUUAAAUUUAAAUUUUCAUUGUGUUUUCCUUAUUUACCUUAAAGGGUAAAAUCAACACAACAAAAAAAGUGAUAAAUGUCAAAGGACCUACAUAUAAACACAUGGACUAAACCCAAUGACAGCUAAUCAUUUUGGACCUAAAUCUAAAAAGCCCUUGAAUAUAAUUCGUUUCCUUAUAUAUACUUAAUUUUUUAUUCUUUUUGGGGGAGAAGAAAAUGCAGACAAUAAAGGUCUAGAUGGUAGGAGCGUAAUCCCAAAGUUCGGAUUAAAUAGGCCUGGCAGGUAGCAUAUUUGUGCCAGUUUUAUUGAGUGUGGCAUUUAUAAGUGUGUUUGAGUUUAUUAUUUGCCUUGUUUAAGAUAUUAUCUGGCUUAAGGACUUUAUUGGUGAUUUGCUUUGGAUUAUUUGAAGGCCGGAGGCCGUUUAUGUGAAUUGCAUGUUGAUACAUUGUGCAUGCUGCCAGUUGUGGAUAUUAAAUGUGUUUUAUGUAGGUUGAAAAUUUUGGGAUUGUUCAAAUUACAAGGGAGACUCUGCCAAAAUUUUGGUAGAAAGUCUUGGUCUUUAGUAAGUGGGCCCGGCAUCGAGGUGAUGUCGGAAUUUCCACAGGAUUCGUCUCGAGUUUCGGGGAAUUCGGGGUGGGUCCUGUCACUUCUAGGCAACUUAAGAAGCAUGAGUUGAAUACCUUACGCAUGAUUUCGAGCUUACUGCGGUAGUGUUCAAGUUAAAGAUUUGGCGACAUUAUCUUUAUUGAGAAACGUGCCAAAUUUUUACGGAUCAUAAUAAAAGGCUAAAGUAUUUGUUCACCUAGAAGAAAUUAAAUUUGAGACAAAGGAGAUGGUUAGAAUUGAUAAAGGACUAUGAUUGUACCAUUGAACAUCAUACUGGGAGAGCUAAUGUUGUGGCUGAUGCUCUUAGCAGGAAGUUGUCUGGGUCCUUGGCUCAUCUUCGAGGGAAGUAUCUUCCAUUGUUGGUUGAAUUGAGAAAGUCGAGAGUUGGGUUAAGUAUGGAUGAUCAAGGAGCUUUGUUUGCAACUCUCCACGUAAGACUGCUGUUAGUUGAACGAAUUAUCGAAGCCCAAAUGCAGGAUCAAUUAAUUUUACACGUUAAGGUUGGAGGUUGAAAAUGGUACAGGAAUAGAUUAUUCUAUGAGAAGGGAUGGAGCUUUGAUGGUAGGAACAAGAUUGUAUGUUCUCGGGGAUGAAGCACUAAAGAGGGAAAUUCUUGAGGAGGCCCACUGUUCGGCCUUCGCCAUGCAUCCUUGCAGCACAAAAAUAUACUGCACCCUAAGAAAUCAUUAUUGGUGGCCUAUAAUCAAGCAAAUUCCAAGUUAUGCAAAGUUCUUGAAGGACCUUUGUACCAACAAGAGGAAAUUCAAAUAUCAUGAAACGGUUGCACUAACGGAAGAGGUUUAUGCUGUUUUGCAAAGGAAGCUCCCUCCCAAGUUAAAAGAUCCAUGAAGUUUUACAAUUCCUUGUGUUAUUGGUGAUAAAAUGUUUGAACCCCGCCAAGCCCAAACACUAUGUGCUCUCUCUGCAGAGACAGAAACGUUCUCUUUACUCUUACAAUCCUCAAGUGAGAGAUCUCAGACAGUUUGCUCAUAAGCUCAAUGAUUGUGAUACCUCUUAAGGUGCUUUCUUGGCUACUCUUGAAGAAAUCUCACAACCAUCCACUAGAGAAAAUGCGUUUUUGAUACUCAAUAGCUUGAAGUCGUGGCAGAAAACCCAAAUGUUCUUCAAUUGGGUGAAAACCCAUAAUUUUUUAAGAAAAAGAAGAUUAAAACAAAAACAAAAACUGCAUCCCUAUCCCUGCAUCCCUACCCUUCCCCUCCCCCUCAAUCUCCCCAUCUGCCCUCAUCCUCCUUCUCUCUCUCUCUCUCUCUCUCUCUGUCUGUUACCCCCAAGCCAAAGCUCAGCCCCCUCCCUGUCAUCCACGACCCACUCUCUGCCCCUCUAUCUUUCCCUUAUCUUCCUUUUUGUCCCCUUAUCUCUCUCUAUGUGUUAUCUGACAGGACCCGCCUCGGAAUUCCCGAAAACCGAAGCGAAUCCCAUCCCGUUACCGACAUCACCCCGAUGUUGGGCCCACUUACUAAGGAUCAAGACUUUCUACCAAAAUUUUUGGCAGAGUCUCCCCUGUAAAUUGAACAUUUUCCCAAAAAUUCAACCUGCUCAAAAUUCACAGUUUAAGGUACCCAACCAGCAACAUGCUUUAAAGCAAAUAAACAGUUUACAACAAAGGCCUCUGGCCUCAAAGAUCAAACCCUAGCAAGGGCAAUAACAGAGCAUAUCUAAAGAAUUCAAAUACAACAAAAACAAAGUUCAAGGGAAAAAGAAUGAAGGAGUCCUACGAAGGCUCAAGGCUUGUAAGCACACGAUCCAGCUCAGCUGCGGAGCACAGUCAACUACUGGCUGGGGGCGCAAAACAGAAAAAUGUGAGUGGACGAAAAUAAAGUUUAGUUCAGUGUAAACUAAGAUAAUAUAACCUCACUGUUUAAUAAACCAAUGCAAGAAAUCCAAAUGCAUCCCAAACCAUCAUAAUCAAAUAAAUAUUUAUAUAUGUCAAAACCAAACCAAUACCGGAUGCCAAGUUCGAAAUCCAAACAGAACACUAAACAAACCGACCAAUUAAAUAUUAUAAGUCCCAAACCAAACUCUCAAAAGAGUAUCCAUUGGCACGACCGGUAAGGAAGUAUCCUCACCGAAAAACAAGAAUGAAUGAAUAGUUAUAUACAUAUGUAAAUAUAUAUAUAUAUAUAUAAUAUAAGAGAUAUAUAUAUACAUAUAUAAUAAUAAUAUAAAUAUGACCAACACCUAGUUGUACCGGGGAAACAAUCCAACUAGGGGAUUGUUUGACUAGUCACCAUGGCAGAGUCCCCAUGAAGAGUCCUCAAUUCACCAUGUAACUAGGGAACGAGCCGUCCAACUGGGGACUAACUCUCAGCCAGCACGUACAGCCGAUACCCUCAAAACUUGUACGUCUGUGACUAGUCCUACGAGCGCGGACUACCCAAUCAAGGGUCUACAGCAACAUCCCGUCAAGGAUGCCCCGGGUUCCGACAUUUCCAAGUAUCUCAAGUUCCAAAUCUGGGGAGGUACAAAGGGUAGUGCUUAUAGCACUCCAAACUGACAAUCUAUACUCAUCACUUUCCACAAUCUCAUCUCAAUAACCCAAGUACCCCGCACAUAGCCAAACAUAUAUAUAAAUUCUCAAAAUCCAUAUAUACAUACUCAAGAUACUCAAAUAUGUCAAAACCUAAAAUAUAUUACCAAUACUUUAUGAAAAUCAAGAAUUCAACUAUUAAAUAUAACAUGCAUUUCAAUAACUAUUUAAUUAAUAUGCAUAAAGUUCUCAUUAUAAAACCAUGCUUAUAAGUUGAAAACAAAGUCCACUCACAAGUAGUCCCACACUGCCUGACCCUGAGAGGGUCCCGCCUGCUGCGUAUGCGUGGUCGAAGUACCUAUUUCAGAAUACGAAUACGAAAUUAAUACAAAGUGUUUCGAACGAGAACUUGAAUUAAAAUCUUAAUUUCCCGGGUUUCUAGCGAGUGUACGAGGAAGGGAACAAACUGGAAGUUCCUAAGAGUUCCACAAGGUUUAAGACACAUGUCCCUUAAGUUUGGUCUGAAAAGGACGGUUAGAUCGCUCACGAUCAAACGGUUAUCAAAAAAUCUUCAAACUUUAAAUUAUUGAAUCGGAACAUCCGGGGCUCCGAUUCAUGAUCCGCGAAUUUCUACACGUUCCUAGGAAAGUCUAGAGUAACAUAAAUUGGAAUGGAGUCGAUCCAACGGUCCGAACAUGGCGAACCCGAUAACUCCUAAUAUGUGAAAAUCCGUUCGAUAGUCAAACGAUGUCUGAAUUGAGAUCCGCGAAAUCCUACACAUUCCUGACAACCAGGAGAUCGCAUUGGGACAAAAAUGCAAGUUUGCUACAGUGCCCACGCGCUGGCAGCGCGUGAGUGUCCAAAGCGAUAACCCUUCGUCGGAAAAACUCAACACCUCGGCUCAAGACUCCUACCCUAGGUACAACACCCUAUUUGGAGUCACUUUUGUUAUUGGGCCUACCCCAAAAAGUGAGCGGAAGUGGCCGGAAUCGGAAAUCCAAAACCGGCCGAACCCUAAGUUGAAAUUCAAUUGACCUAAGCUCAAAAUUAACGAAAUCCUACCCAACCAUCAACUAGAGCAUGAAAAAUAGGUAGAAAACCAUACCUUACUCGUCAAAUUUGGUGGAGAAAUGAGAGAGAACGAGAGGCCGAAAGUUUGUUGAAAAACUGUCAAAACAGCCUCAUUUCGUGGCUGAUUCUGGCGACCACGACGACGGAUCGAGGCUGGGACCGGUCUGGAAUUGAAGAGGGAAGUGGGGCGGUUCUAACGGGACCGGUGCCGCCCCAAGUGGCGGUGUGUGGUGGUGGUGGCGACGGUGAGAAGUUGCUGUCGUCGCAAGCCAAAAAAAUAAAAAGGGAGGGGGUUUCUGGUUCGCGAGAGAGAGAGAGAGAGAAAGAGAGGAAAAAAAAUCUGGUUUUUAAAAAUCAACUUUGAAAUAUUUACGGUUUUGCCAUUGUCGAAGUUUUGAUCGUAACUUCUUCGUUACAACUCCGAAUUGAGCCCACUACGUGUCUACGGACUCAACUCAGUAAGAUCUACCCAAAAAUACCAGCCACUGCCCCAAAUCUGUUCGGGUAAUAAAAUGACCAAAAUACGCCUACCCUAAGGGUAAAUCCGUAAAUUUCAAAAUUAAAUAACUUAAGGAAUUUAAUUUAGGAAUUUAAUUUAGAGUCGGGGUGUUACAUUAUCUUUUCCAUUGGCGAAAGGUGCCUCUGGUUUUUUUUCCCCCCAACUACCCAAACCACCCUCACCCCCGAGCCUUACAUGUGACCCAACAGAGGGAUCGUUUGUGGAGAGAGAGAGAGAGAGAGAGAGAGAGAGAGAGAGAGAGAGAUGUGGAGAGGUAGAGAUGUAAUUUUUGUUUUUUUUUUAAUCUUAUUUUUUCUAAAAUAUUAAUUUUCUUUACAAAUUUUUUUUAUGGAUUUAGAGUUUUAAAAUUGAAACUGAAAUUUUUAAUUAUUAUUUUGUGAAAAAUAAGGUAAAGCGAGACAAAAUUGUGUGAAAUAUGGGGUAAAGUGAGACAAAAUGAGAUUCAUGGGGUAAAGUGAGACUCAAAUACACUUUCAGGAGGUAUAUAAAAAAACAAGCCUAAAAAAAAAACAAACCCACCUCAUCCUCCCCCACUUUAAUCCCAACCCCCAUCUCAUCGCUGUUCUGCAACAGCCUCUUAGUAUCCCACCUUCCCCAUCCUCUCUCUCUCUCUCUCUCUCUCUCUCUCUCUCUCUCUCCGAACAAACCUAGAGCCUUGCAACCCUAAUAAACGUUUGAAGAGAGAAAUAGAGGGAGAGAGGAGAAUGGGACAUGGAGGGAGGGGAAGAAAAGGUGGGCUGUGAGGUGGAAAAGAUGUGGCGCUGGGGCAAUGGUUAUUGGGCUGGGAGGUGGGAGAGGGAAAUAGGUUUUUAUUUUAUAGUUUUUAAUUUAUUUACUAUUUUAUUUAAUUGGACUCUUUUACCCCUAUAUUUGACAGUAAUAUUGAUAGAAAGGGAUGCUCAGGAUACUUGGCUCAUGUGAUUGAUACAUGGGAUAAUGGAUUGCAAUUGGAAGAUAUUUCAGUGGUACAAGAGUUUUUGGAUGUAUUCCCAGAAUAGCUUCCUGGAUUACCUCCUGAAUGGGAGAUGAAUUCACUAUUGAACUCAUCCCAGGAACAAAUUCUAUUUCUUAGGCGCCGUAUAGAUUGGCACCAGCUGAAUUGAGAGAGUUGAAAACUCAGUUGUAGGAGUUGGUAGACAAGGGUUUCAUUCGACCUAGUUUUUCUCCUUGGGGUGCAUCAGUUUUGUUCGUGAAGAAGAAGAAUGGCACCAUGAGGUUGUGCAUUGAUUACAGACAAUUGAACAAGGUCACAGUGCGGAACCGAUAUCUGUUGCCACGCAUUGACGACUUGUUCGAUCAAUUGAAGGGUGCUAAGGUAUUUUCUAAGAUUCUUUUGAGAUUAGGCUAUCAUCAGUUACGAAUCAGGGAAGAUGAUGUACCUAAGACUACUUUCCGGAUGAGGUAUGGCCAUUAUGAGUUUUUGAUGAUGCCUUUUGGGCUAACUAAUGCACCAGCAGCGUUUACGGAUCUCAUGAACAGAGUGUUCAGACGUUCUCUGGACCGCUUUGUGAUUAUGUUCAUAGACGAUAUCCUUAUGUAUUCCAAAAGUGAAAAGGCGCACAUGAAGCACUUGGAAAUUGUGCUGAGAACUUUAAGAAUGAGACAAUUGUGUGCAAAAUUCAGCACAUGUCAGUUUUCGUAAGACAUAGUUUCUUGGGGAACGUGAUCUCUGUUAAAGGUAUCUAUGUAGACCCCCAAAAGGUGGAAGCAGUGGUAAACUGGCCACGACCAACCAAUGUCACUGAGGUACGAAGUUUUCUUGGGUUGGCAGGGUACUACAGUCGCUUGGAGAAGGGUUUCUCUACCAUAGCUACACCCUUCAAGGAAAGAAGUUAUGUUUGAAUGGACAAAUGAGUGUGAGGAAAGCUCUACUGAGUUAAAAACCAGGUUAACAACUGCUCUAGUAUUGGCAUUUCCUGACGAUAGUGGAAACUUUGUUAUCUACAGUGAUGCAUCACGACAUGGUUUCUGUUAUGUGUUGAUGCAACAUGGUAAGGUAAUCGCUUUUGCUUCUAGGCAACUUAAGAAGCAUGAGUUGAAUACCCUACGCAUGAUUUCGAGCUUGCUGUGGUACUGUUCGAGUUAAAGAUUUAGCGAUAUUAUCUUUAUUGGGAGACAUGCCAAAUUUUUACGGAUCAUAAUAAAAGGCUAAAGUAUUUGUUCACCUAGAAGGAAUUAAAUUUGAGACAAAGGAGAUGGUUAGAAUUGAUAAAGGACUAUGAUUGUACCAUUGAACAUCAUACUGGGAGAGCUAAGUUGUGGCUGAUGCCAUUAGCAGGAAGUCGUCUGGGUCCUUGGCUCAUCUCCGAGGGAAGUAUCUUCCAUUGUUGGUUGAAUUGAGAAAUUUGAGAGUUGGGUUAAAUAUGGAUGAUCAAGGGGCUUUGCUUGCUACUCUCCACGUAAGACCGGUGUUAGUUGAACAAAUUAUCGAAGCCCAAAUGCAGGAUUCAUUAAUUUUACACAUUAAGGUUAGAGGUUGAAAAUGGUACAGGAAUAGAUUAUUCUAUGAGAAGGGAUGGAGCUUUGAUGGUAGGAACAAGAUUGUAUGUUCUCGGGAAUGAAGCACUAAAGAGGGAAAUUCUUGAGGAGGCCCACUGUUCGGCCUUCGCCAUGCAUCCUGGCAGCACAAAAAUAUACUGCACCCUAAGAAAUCAUUAUUGGUGGCCUGUAAUCAAGCAAAUUCCAAGUUAUGCAAAGUUCUUGAAGGACCUUUGUACCAACAAGAGGAAAUUCAAAUAUCAUGAAACGGUUGCACUAACGGAAGAGGUUUAUGUUGUUUUGCAAAGGAAGCUCCCUCCCAAAGUUAAAAGAUCCAUGAAGUUUUACAAUUCCUUGUGUUAUUGGUGAUAAAAUGUUUGAACCCCGCCAAGCGCAAACACUAUGUGCUCUCUCUGCAGAGAUAGAAACGUUCUCUUUACUCUUACAAUCCUCAAGUGAGAGAUCUCAGACAGUUUGCUCAUAAGCUCAAUGAUUGUGAUACCUCUUAAGGUGCUUUCUUGGCUACUCUUGAAGAAAUCUCACAACCAUCCACUAGAGAAAAUGCGCUUUUGAUACUCAAUAGCUUGAAGCUAUGGCAGAAAACCCAAAUGUUCUUCAAUUGGGUGAAAACCCAUAAUUUUUUAAGAAAAAAGAGGAUUAAAAUAAAAACAAAAACUGCAUCCCUAUCCUUGCAUCCCUAUCCUCCCCCUCCCCCUCCAUCUCCCCAUCUGCCCGCAUCCUCCUCUUUUUUUUUUUCUCUCUCUCUCUCUCUCUCUCUGUUACCCCCGAGCCAAACCUCAGCCCACUCCCUGUCAUCCACGACCCACUCACUGCCCCUCUAUCUUUCCCUCAUCUUCUUUUUUUUCCCCUUAUCUUUCUUUGUGUGUUAUCUUUUCCAUUUGCGAAAGGUGCCUCUGAUUUUUUUCCCCCAACUACCCAAACCACCCCCACGCUUGAGCCUUACAUGUGACCCAACAGAGGGACCGUUUGCAGGGAGAGAGAGAGAGAGAGAGAGAGAGAGAGAGAGAGAGAGAGAGAGAGAGAGAGAGAGAGAUGUAAUUUUUGUUUUUGUUUUAAUCUUAUUUUUUCUAAAAUAUUAAUUUUCUUUACAAUUUUUUUUUAUGGAUUUUAAGUUUUAAAAUCUAAAUUGAAAUUUUUAAUUAUUAUUUUUUGAAAAAUGAGGUAAAGUGAGAUAAAAUUGUGUGAAAUAUGGGAUAAAGUGAGACAAAAUGAGAUUCAUGGGGUAAAGUGAGACUCAAAUACACUUUUAGGAGGUAUAUAAAGAAAUAAGCCUAAAAAAAAAAAAAACCAACCCACCUCAUCCUCCCCCACUUUAAUCCCAACCCCCAUCUCAUCGAUGUUCUGCAACAGCCUCUUGGUAUCCCACCCUCCCCAUUCUCUCUCUCUCUCUCUCUCUGAACAAACCCAGAGCCUUGCAGCCCCUAUAAACGUUUGAAGAGAGAAAUAGAGGGAGAGAUGAGGAGGGGACAUGGACGGAGGGGAAGAAAAGGUGGGCUGUGAGGAGGAGAAGACGGGGAGCUGGGGCAAUGGUUAUCAGGCUGGGAGGUGGGACAAGGAAAUAGGUUUUUAUUUUAUAGUUUUUAAUUUAUUUAAUAUUUUAUUUAAUUGGACUCUUUUACCCCUAUUUGACAGUAAUAUUGAUAGAAUGUGACGGUAAGACCAGUGUGCCGAUUAAUAAAGAGUUGGUGAACCAUUUAAACGAAUAAUUUAAUUGAAGGACUAAAAUGCAACUCGAGUGUAAAUUUGAGGACCAUUUAAGUAAAUAACUCUACUAUAGUAAUAUAUAGCCUUGCUUGUGCCUAACAUAUCACAUAUCUAAGGGCUGCUAUGUGUCUUUGAUAUUCUUCAACAAAUGAGAAAUCAAACAGAACAGUAUUUAAAUAUUUGAUAUGCAUCUCAAAUUAAAAAUGAAGCAAUUAAGUCGAACAUCUACAUCGAUCCAUUGAGAAAAGGACGUAACGAAAUAGAAAAUUUAGGUCAAUUAGUACUCUAUAAUCAAGUUGGAGCUUGCACUAGCUUUUAUUAAAUUAUGAAAGGAAAUACACGGAGAAGAUUAUAAGAUAAUUAUCUCCAGUCAUUUAAGAGGAUAGAAUUGCAAGUUGCAAUUGCUUUAACAAAGUUGUUAAUUAGCUGUCGUACAAUUGAAACAAAUAAUAAUAAGGAUAGUGGUCGAAGACUAACAAAGUUGACUACGAUUUGCGUUCACUUUGGUUAUCGGACUUCACAUGCAUAGACGGAAGAGAAUCUGGUUCAGUUGUGAAGAGCCUGAUUUAUCAUUCCUCACAUCAAUUUAAGAAUAAAAGUAAUCUACUUGUGGGUAGACGCUUUAAGAAUAAAAUAUUAUAUCACUAAUCUGAUAAAUAUUCUGCACCAGUCAAGACCACAUGCAGUUGUCUUGUCUUGGUUACACAACCUACAAUACCUUUUGUCCAGCUCCAUGUCUUGGUUCCACGUGCAGUUGUCUUUAUUAUGUCAUGUCUUCUUCUCAACACUUCCCCACAAAAACAUCAGCUCACUGUGUUCAUCAUAAGGCAAGGUUUGAACACUGCAAAAACAUCAGCUAACUGUUCAGCAGAGGGCAAGAUUUGAACGCGGUGAGUGUCGAAGGCAAUACGUUCCAGAACAAAGUGAUAUUUUCAUAUAUACCUUUCGAAAACUAGUCCAAAAAAGAGCCAGACCCUUGCCUGCCUCUUCUUCUCCGUGUCUCAACCUUAGUUUUUUGGGGCUGCUUCUCAGCCUCCUGUUCAGAUUUUGGCUAGGUCUCCCACCUUUGGAUCCUUGUUGUAUGUGUUGUUGAAGUUUUGGAGUUUGGUGGUAGAUCUAGGUAGAUCUCCUUUGGAUCUAUUUUAUGUGGAGGUGUAGCUGCUGGAUCUAGGUAGAUCUUCCAUCAUAUGGUAUUGUGGGAUCGUGAGUUCCAUGAUUGGUAGAAGGAAGUUUUUUUUUUUUAUUAAGGUCAUUUCUGGAAUUGGUCUCUUCUUUGGUUUUCAUUAUAUUUCCUUGAGAAUACUAAUGAGUUUUCAGUGUCUUUUAUUUGAUUGAAUUAGGCACCAUCUCUGGUUUUCCAUUUCUGCCUUUUGGUUUAGUAAUCUUUUUGAUCUGAUGGAACCAGACCUCAUCUUUGGUUUUCAGAUUCUUGCUCCUCCCUGCCUUUCAAUCUUACAAGGUUGUUUGCUCUUCCAAUCAAGGUAAUAAUCUCAAUCUAUCCUUGAUCUUUAUUUUUAUUUUUUUUAUAUAGCAAUUUAUGAUUUCAGAUUAUGGUUUCUUCUGUAUAUUUUUCAUGGCAUCUUGUAAUUUUGGUCUAUAUUUGAGAAGAGGAAUUGGGUCUGAUUGCUUCAUUUGGGUCUAUCGUUGAUUUUGAGUUAUAGAAAAAAAAGAGAUAAAAAACAGAGAACAUAAAACUAUUAGAAAAGUGUUGGUGGGACCAUAAAUGUAUUAUUAAUUAUAAAGAUGAAUUGGCACCUCAAAAUGGUGCUUUUUUUAAAAUCAACUUAGGAGACAAAUUCAUAUCAAUAGCUAGUGUGUGUUUUUUUAGUUGUGAUUGUGUUGUCUGAUAUAAUGAUUAUGUCAUGUCUUCUCCUCAGCAAGUUGUUUUCCUUGUGUGCUCGAAGAAAAUAUGACUGAAGCAAUAGUUUCCUUUGUGAUUGAAAGACUUGGAGAAUUCAUCAUCCAAGAUGCAAAGUUCUUGUUUGGAGUCAGCGAUAAAGUUGAGUUUGCACAAACUGAGCUGCAACUCAUGCAGGGUUUUCUGAAAGAUGCAGAUCUAAGGCAACGAGAUGAUGAAACGGUACGUGUUUGGGUUGCACAAAUAAGAAAGGCUGCUUAUGAUCUGGAGGAUGUCAUAGAAAUAUUUAUCUUGAGAGUGGCUACAAAGAAGCGAGGCAUGAAGCAUGUUCUGAAAAGGUUUGGUUGUGUGUUAAAGGAAGGAGUUGAUCUUCACAAGAUUGGGUCACAAAUUGAGAAUGUUACCACCCAACUUUCUAAUUUGAGGUCAAGCUUGCAAACUUAUAACAUUAAGGAAAUAAGGAACUCUAGAGGUGCCACUUCUUUGUAUGAGAGGCAGCAGCAAGUAAGGCGAACUUAUUCUCAUAUUAUUGAACGUGAUGUUGUUGGGUUAGAGAAUAGUGCGGAAGAAUUGGUCAAGCAUUUGGUGAAGAAAGAAUUUAGCCACCGAAUUGUUUCUAUCUGGGGUAUGGGUGGUCUGGGAAAGACCACCCUUGCAAAACAAAUUUAUCGUCAUAAUGAAGUUAGACGCCAUUUUGGUUGCUUUGUUUGGAUAUGUAUAUCUCAACAAUUCCAAGUGAGAUCUGUUUGGGAAGAAAUUUUAAUUAAACUUAUUUCUGCUACCACUGCGCAAAGAGAAGAAUUUGCAAAACUGAGGGAUGAUGAAAUAGCCAAGAAGAUAUAUCUUCUACAACAAAAAAGUAGAUGUUUGGUAGUCCUUGACGAUAUUUGGAGCAUUGAGGCAUGGGAGUCACUGAAAGCUGCGUUUCCAUUGUAUGAUGCGGAAACAGAAAGUAGAAUAUUACUCACCACUCGCAACAAAGAGGUAGCUUUACAUUCAAAUGGAUUCAUCCACCAACCUCGCCCAUUAAAUGACGAUGAAAGCUGGGAACUUUUUGAGAAGAUAGCAAUCUUUGGAAGAGAAGGAAUAAGUAUUCUCUUAUCCCAAUCUUUUGUCUCUACUUUAAUUUCAUAUUUGUCAAUUAAACACAAUAGAUAAGAACUUUUCAUAUUCCAUUCGACACUACAUUUGAGAAAGACAAAAAAAAUUGCUUCUGUUUCCACCAACAUAUACUAUUUUCCCACCCAGCUUAUCUUCCUACCCACUAUUUAUAAUAAAAAUAGCUAUUGUGCGGUGGAGGAAGAGGGAGGACGGAGGUGGGUGGGGUAUGCGUGAUGUGCAGGAAGGGUUUUGAUUUUUUUUUAAAAAAUAAUAUUUUUAGUUGAUUUUAAUGUUUAAUGUUCUUUUUCUAAGUCUUUAAAAUUUUGAAGAUAAAAUGAGCAGGGAAAUAAGACGGGGGAAGAUAGAAACACUAAAAAAAAAAAAAAACAUAUAAUAAUUUUUCGGACUUUGUGUUUUCCAAGCAUUAAGAACAUUUGUUUUUGGUGAUCGAUAAAUGUUAUAUGAUUAUCUGCCAAAUUACAUAGCACAUGGGAUUCUUCAUAAGAACUUUGCUGUAAGAACCUUAUAUUUUCUGUCUCAUCUCCAUAUCGAAUAUUCUUAACUAUAGCCAUUUUCACUUUGGAAACAAACAUUGACACAAAUUAACGCCACCAAAUUGAAAUAUAAACUCCCAUAUUUUAAUUUUAAUUUUGUCAUUUGUUAAAACAUGUUUAUCGAUAAAUUAUAGGUAUUUAAGUAUUGUUAAUUAUUUUUUAUCGAUAAAAGAGUACGGGUUUUGAUUACCUUAUCAUUUAGAAAAUGAAAAAUGAAUCUCGAACUUGUCCGCUGAACCCAUCUUUUUUUAUUUUGGGAAGUUAAUGUUGUGCGAAAACACUCCAAUACAUUGUUGUUGAUGGAUUACCCAACUAUCACACACAAGGCAUGCAAAGAUAAAGCACACACUCAAAUCGAAAAGUAAACACACACACAAAGAACACAAGAAUUUAUAGAGGUUUGAUGUUGUGGUUACAAUGAAUAACUCCCUUUGCUCUCUCACAAACCCCAGCUCUCUUUUCUCUCACCCUUGGCUCAAACUCAAUUUGAUGCCUUAGUUUUCUCACGUUAUGAAAACCUAGCACUAAAGUGCCUAUUUAUAGUUCAUAGGACUUAAGUACAAACCUAAUAGUAAUAGAAGACUUAACCUAGCUCAAAUAGGCUAGCAAAAUGCCAAUCACGCAUAGCAGGAAAAACACACAAUGACCGGUCGCGCAAUUCUUGAGACCGGUUGGUUUGCACAAAACCUCCAACUUCUCUCCAGCAUCGCGACCUUUGCUCUCAGGAUUAUGCGACCGAUUGUUUUUGAAAGAAGCGACCAGUCUCUUCUUGCUUCUCCUUCCUAUUUUCGCAUCUUUAAGUGAGGCAACUUCAACAGUUAAAACCCAUCUCAAAGUAGUUUUUGUUUUCCAAGUUAUUAAACUUGGUGCAAUUGUCAUUAUAUUAGUUUUGUCAAUUAUCUAGCAUAAGUGUUUUAUUUUCUUUUGUUGCUGAUAUAUCUAGCAUACGAUGAGUAAAAUCAUAAACUGACAGUGUAAAAUUGUUUGAAAAAAAUGAACAUUUUAUUUUAGACAAGCGAUUAGUGUAGUUCUUUAAUUAUUUACUUUUACAAUGCAAAGUUAGCUAAUAUAACAAUGAAUUUGGUGUUGAUUAUGUUUCAGCCUUCGAAGUUUCCACAAAGAUGAAAAAGUUAGGAAAGAAAAUGCUUCAACAUUGUGUCGGCUUGCCAUUAGCCAUCAUUGUGCUCGCAGGACUACUCGCCAGAAAGGACACAAUUAAUGAGUGGGAGACAGUACUUAAGAAUGUUUAUGCAUACAUAAGAAGAGGCAAAGACCAUGAACAUGAAGUCACGGGUACAUCGUGGGUGUUGUCGUUGAGUUAUGAUAACUUACCGUAUUAUUUAAAACCAUGUUUUUUAUAUUUAGGUCAUUUCCCUGAAGAUUUUGAGAUAUCAGUAAAGAGGUUGACUCAGUUAUGGAUGGCAGAAGGUCUUAUAUCCUUGGUGCAACAAAGACAAGGUUCAAUGGAAACAAUGGAGGAGAUAGCUUUUAGUUCCUUAAAUGAAUUAGUGGAAAGGUGUAUGGUUCAAAUUGGAGAACGGGGUUCAAUUAGAAAGAUUAAAUCUUGUCGGCUUCAUGAUCUCAUGCGAGACUUGUGCUUGUUGAAGGCAGAAGAGGAGAACUUUCUCCAAACUGUCAAUUUGUCGCAUAGGGAGACAAUGUAUGCUCUUCCUUCUCCCACGGCAAUCGAGGCAACACUAAAAGGUAAGGUUCGAAGACUUGCCAUCUAUGUGGAUGAUAAUGUUGAUAAAUUGGUUCCAUCAAGUUAUGAAAGAGAUGACCGCCUUAGAUCUCUGUUAUACUUUGGCCCAAGAUACUGGAUGCCAAACAAUAACAAGUUAGUGUCGCCAAUAUUCAAGGACUUCAAAUUGCUUAGAGUUUUGAAGGUUGAAGGUAUAAAGCUAUUAGUAAAAUUGCCUAAUGAAAUUGGGAAUAUGGUCCACUUGAGAUUUUUAAGUCUAAGGCAUAGUUUUAUAAAUUGGUUGCCAUCGUCCUUAGGUAAUUUGAUAUGUAUGCAAACUCUGGAUUUACGCAUCAACGGAACGAAUGUAGUUCCAGAUGUAUUUUGGAUGAUGGAACAACUGAGGCAUUUGUAUUUACCUUUUUAUUACACCGCACGGGGUAAAAAACUUCGACUGUCCACUCUUCAUGAUUUGCAGACUCUACAUCAUGUUUCAAGCCUCUGUUGUGACUUGAACGAUCUUACUCAGUUAACCAGUCUUAGAACACUGGCCAUACAAGUGACAAGCCCUUUGAAAAAUUUGGAGGAAACCUUAGAAUCUACAAGCAGCACACUUGAUCGCAUUCAAUCUCUGUAUGUGCACAACUUACUUGGAAUUCGUAGUGGUACGGAGGUUGCACAGAUAGUGUUAAGUUGCCGUCAUAUAUACAAGCUAGAUUUGAAUGGGCGAACAGUACAGUUACCUGACCUUCAACACUUUCCGAACCUCACUAAGUUAACACUGUGUCGCUGUGAUCUCAAGGCCAACCAGAUGGCUGUGCUAGAGAAGCAGCCAAAUCUUAAAACUCUUUGCCUUAUGGAGGAAACUUUUGAGGAUGGAUUAGACACACUGGUUUUCUCCAAAGGAAGCUUUCUUCAACUUGAAUCUCUUUCCCUCAUUUGCAUGUACGAAUUAAGGGACUUCACGGUGGAAAAAGGAGCCAUGCCUAGCCUCCACCGAUUGUGCAUGCAACGUUGCAUGGGAUUGACGACACUUCCAGAUGGGCUGAGACAUAUUACUACACUCUGGGAAUUAAGCUUCACAGAGAUGUCUAGGACAUUUCAUAGUAGGCUUCAGGUCGGAGGAGAUGAUUUCUAUAAAAUCCAACACGUGCCUUCGAUUGUAUUUGCCAACAUGCAGGAGGACUAGGUACUUCUUAAUUUCCGAGUGUGGUCAAGGUUAAUUCAUUUGUUGUGUAACGUGUUCUUCAUUUUGCAUCUUUGCGUCAUUCUUCAAUUUAUUAAUUUUCUUUUUUAUUGUUAUACUGCAGUUGGUGGUUGUCUGUUUUGCUUGGUCUUUGUUAUAUUGUGCUGCAUAUACUUACUGCCGAGAGUUUCCCUUAUAUUGGGAGGGACUGCAUUCAAAAAACAACAGUACAAGCUGAGGUAACCAUUUUCCUUUCUUAUUUCAUGUGCUUUAUAUAUUGUUAGCCAUUCCUUACAAUUUUACUCUAAUCCACAUAAGGAUAAAGCUGCUCACUGUGAUAAAGAUAGACAGAUGUACAAUAAGUUUCCUCUUAUAACUACACUUGUACCAAUAUACUGAACGAUUCACAUCCACAAUAUCUUUUCUACAUAUAUGAUGGUCGAAGAUGAUCAUAUGGAAAUUGAAUCACUGGUAUGAGAUUCUUGGUAUGUCAUAAUGUCACAUAAUUAUCGGAAAGUAUUCUAUCAUAACUUGAAACUAAUGUAUUUUUGUGUCCAAAGGAUAUUUGCAAAUUUGUUCUCUUGUUAAAAGGUACUAAUUCUAUUUUUCUUAGGUGAGAAGUGAGGACAUAUGAAUAUAUUUGUUGGGGAAGCUAACUAGAUGUUGAGAAAAGCAUGUUAGAUGAUCAGUUAAAUGGAAGUUAGUAUAUACUUGUGCCCUCAAUAGAGUGCAAAUAUAUCUUUGUACUCUGUUUUGAUUCUGUUCUUUUCAUAUGAAUUUGCUGGGGCUGCUUUGAGGUACUAUAUGUUAGGCUAUUAUGCUUUUGCUGUCUCCUUCGAAUUAUAGGGUCUUCAUUAUUUACUAAUCUUCAAAUCCCUGUGUUUCGGUGGAUCCCGAGCCAGACUUCACGGAAAGAGCGAUACGGGGAAAUGAGUGAAGCUGCCUCAAAGGAAGGAAUGGAUGACACCAUUGGGCCAAUGUCGAUAGAGUGCGCCGAUGAUGACGUCAUAUACAAAAGCGUGGUAGAAUGUUAGAACCCAAAUAUCCCAAGUUGAGAGCUCUCGAGAACCCUUUCCAUACAAGUUAAUUUUUAAGUGUAAGUUCUACACAAGGAAAAGAUCUUACAGCAGUUACCACCUAUGGCUUCAUCAGAAAUUUAUCUCUAAGACUCUUGUUAAUCAUUUUGGUUAAAUAUUUCCAAGUCUAGUGUAAUUCUAUGUGUGUAUGCCUAAAGUUUGUGUAAUCCUAUGGUUAACUGUUUUUGAAGCGCAAGGAUAUCCGUG
rnacentral:lncRNA from 1 species